rnacentral:rRNA from 1 species
GAUGAACGCUGGCGGCGUGCUUAACACAUGCAAGUCGAACGGGAUCCCAGGAGCUUGCUCCUGGGUGAGAGUGGCGAACGGGUGAGUAAUGCGUGACCGACCUGCCCCAUACACCGGAAUAGCUCCUGGAAACGGGUGGUAAUGCCGGAUGCUCCAGUUGGAUGCAUGUCCUUCUGGGAAAGAUUCAUCGGUAUGGGAUGGGGUCGCGUCCUAUCAGCUUGAUGGCGGGGUAACGGCCCACCAUGGCUUCGACGGGUAGCCGGCCUGAGAGGGCGACCGGCCACAUUGGGACUGAGAUACGGCCCAGACUCCUACGGGAGGCAGCAGUGGGGAAUAUUGCACAAUGGGCGCAAGCCUGAUGCAGCGACGCCGCGUGCGGGAUGACGGCCUUCGGGUUGUAAACCGCUUUUGACUGGGAGCAAGCCCUUCGGGG